AGUACUCGAGUGGCGAACGGGUGAGUAACACGUGGGUGAUCUGCCCUGCACUUCGGGAUAAGCCUGGGAAACUGGGUCUAAUACCGGAUAGGAGCCAUUUUUAGUGUGAUGGUUGGAAAGUUUUUCGGUGUAGGAUGAGCUCGCGGCCUAUCAGCUUGUUGGUGGGGUAAUGGCCUACCAAGGCGGCGACGGGUAGCCGGCCUGAGAGGGUGGACGGCCACAUUGGGACUGAGAUACGGCCCAG
rnacentral:rRNA from 1 species